rnacentral:tRNA from 1 species
GAUUGGUUAGCUCAGAGGGAAGAGCACUACACUUGUAAUGUAGCUGUCGCGGGUUCGAUUCCCGCACCAAACACCA